AAGAGUGAUGCAUCAACAGGUCAGACAGACCGACCUUCCUCCUGCCCACUGGCCUUCUUCUGGCUUACGAAACUAGCUAGUGAAACUCUAGCUAUCCGGGAAUCCGCAACUAGAACUACAAAGCAAAGGGAUGACUUGUCCCCAACAAAAGGUGCAAAGCUUGGGCCAGUUCCUGCUUAAACUCCAAACCCCAUUGCCCUUCCUGUUAUGGCACGCCCUCUAUUGCCAGGUGCUUCAUACGAGACUGAAACUGCCAUAUGCACGGGCGAAGAAAAGCCUCUCUCUGGGUCUGCGUCAACAAGUUCGAAGAACUUGCCUUUACUGCGACACCGACCACGGCCUUGGUGGUCCCCUCUCUUCUCUAGGCUACCCUACAGCGUCUUCCGAUGACUUCCUUUCGUGCCUUGCUGUUCUGGUUCUGUUCUUUCUAUAGGGCCUUCGUUCACCACACGGGUGAUCACUUCCUUGGGCCGGAUAGACAGGGUUUUCUCGUUUAGUGCUCCCC
rnacentral:lncRNA from 1 species